UUAUUUGAGAGUUUGAUCCUGGCUCAGGAUGAACGCUGGCGGCGUGCCUAACACAUGCAAGUUGAGCGAUUUACUUCGGUAAAGAGCGGCGGACGGGUGAGUAACGCGUGGGUAACCUACCCUGUACACACGGAUAACAUACCGAAAGGUAUGCUAAUACGGGAUAAUAUAUUUGAGAGGCAUCUCUUAAAUAUC
rnacentral:rRNA from 1 species